CUGGCAGAAAAUGAAUUCGCAUAUAUAUGUAUAUAUGGGGGCGGGGGAGUGCAAGGCUGUGGGAAACACUGCAACCCGUCAAAAUAAAUAAUAAAUGUUCAUUUUUACAUAAAGGCAUUGUGCUAGAAAUAUUACUAUUAUUUAGUAGAAUGUAUGUGAUACUGCUACUACUGUUGAAAAAAUUAAUAAAACUUAAUUUUUUAAAGAAAUAAAUCACACAAUAUUUCUUCCAUGUUUUAAUUUUAAUAGCAAAUCCCCUUUAUUUAACAAAAAAUAAAAUAUGUUUAAAUUUCAUUAAUUAAAAGACAAAUUAAAUUUGGGUGAAACUUGUUUACUGUUUUCCAUAAUUAUAAUACUUGUAGAAAAACUUUAAACACAAUUGUAAAUAAGUUUAAAGUAUGGCAUUGGUUUUAUUUUUAGUGAUAAAAAGUUUUUUUUUUUUUUUUUUAAUUAGCAUAUUUUUGUGUUUUGCUUUGGUACCGAAAUUGGUACCGAGAACCGUGGAUUUUCACUGGUAUCGGUACCGAAUACUGAAAUUUUGGUACCGUGACAACACUAGUCUAUGGUCUACAACUGUUGAUGAGCUAACGUUAACAUACACUGUUGCUAGGUUACUUCAGACCGUUAGCUAGCUAACCUAAACAUUUAAUGUUGCCUAGAACAUUCUGUGUCCACUUUAAACAGCAGCGUUUUCUGUCAGCAAUGUAUGACAAGCAGACUCUGGCUGCUGUUAUAGUGUUAUGGUUAUGUGGUGAGCCUGAGUAUAGUUUUACACAUCAGCCCAGUCUAGUCUGUAAAGUUAUUGAUACGCAGUCGGGUUUUUUUUUUACACAUUAAUCUGAAAAUGAAUGUGGCAUACCCAGUUUUUAAAAUGUACAUCCAGAGACUCUUUUCUGGCUAUGUGGACUCAAUAUGAUCAUAACUCAGUUGUUUUCAUAUCAGAGCACAGAUGAGGUGGAGCUGCUUCAGAACAGAGAGGGUGAGAUAGGGAAAAGCAGCAGCAGCACAACGUUACAGGUAGGUUAUGUGCUGUAUGAAAGGCCAGGUGAUUUUGAUUUGUUGGUGAUAAAAGGGAAGAAGUGUACAUGAUAAAUAGUGAAUACAGUUUGAAUAUUAUCAAAUUAAAUGUUCUUCUUGUAGGAGCCAAAUUGCGUGUUGUUAUUUGUUUAGAAUAUUUUUUUAACAUGGUCACAUCAUCACAUGGGUGUGGUUUCAUAUUAUUUACCUGCUCACUUGUGUGGUGGGAGAGAAACAGAAUCAGGCCCUGAUAUUUUUCUGUUGACUGUUAUAAUAUAGUUUCAGUUGUGAUGAACUUUUGUUUAUUUUUUUUAUGCCAUGCUUUCAUAUCAGAGAACAGAUGAGGUGAAGCUGCUUAAAGACAGGGAGGGUGAGACAGGGAGAAGUAGCUCAGAGUUGCAGGUAUGUGCUGUGUAAAGGGUCAGGUAAUUAAUUUUAAUUAUGUCAUGUUAGAAACAGGCUAGCACAUUUUCAUAUUUCAUAGGUGAGACAGGGAACAGGCGCAAGCGAAGAAGUGCAGGUAGGCAGGCAGGAUGCUGAACCCAACCAUGCUAACCCAAAGCUCAUUGCAGUGCAGCAGAAUUUAUCAUUAUAAACAACUUAAUUAUUUCCUGGAUCACCA
ensembl:lncRNA